UGCAAGUCGAACGCUUCUUUUUCCACCGGAGCUUGCUCCACCGGAAAAAGAAGAGUGGCGAACGGGUGAGUAACACGUGGGUAACCUGCCCAUCAGAAGGGGAUAACACUUGGAAACAGGUGCUAAUACCGUAUAACAAUCAAAACCGCAUGGUUUUGAUUUGAAAGGCGCUUUCGGGUGUCGCUGAUGGAUGGACCCGCGGUGCAUUAGCUAGUUGGUGAGGUAACGGCUCACCAAGGCCACGAUGCAUAGCCGACCUGAGAGGGUGAUCGGCCACAUUGGGACUGAGACACGGCCCAAACUCCUACGGGAGGCAGCAGUAGGGAAUCUUCGGCAAUGGACGAAAGUCUGACCGAGCAACGCCGCGUGAGUGAAGAAGGUUUUCGGAUCGUAAAACUCUGUUGUUAGAGAAGAACAAGGAUGAGAGUAACUGUUCAUCCCUUGACGGUAUCUAACCAGAAAGCCACGGCUAACUACGUGCCAGCAGCCGCGGUAAUACGUAGGUGGCAAGCGUUGUCCGGAUUUAUGGGGCGUAAAGCGAGCGCAGGCGGUUUCUAAAGUCUGAUGUGAAAGCCCCCGGCUCAACCCGGGGAGGGUCAUGGG
rnacentral:rRNA from 1 species